AAUACCCGAUGGCAUAGUUCUUCCGCAUGGUGGAACUAUUAAAGAAUUUCGGUCAUCGAUGGGGAUGCGUUCCAUUAGGUUGUUGGCGGGGUAACGGCCCACCAAGCCUUCGAUGGAUAGGGGUUCUGAGAGGAAGGUCCCCCACAUUGGAACUGAGACACGGUCCAAACUCCUACGGGAGGCAGCAUG
rnacentral:rRNA from 1 species